UUCCCCAGACUAUCAUGUUUUCUGUCAUUAAUUAUGUCUACUUUCUGUUGCUGAGAUGUUGAAAUGUAAGAUAAUCAAAUUUGAUUUGAAUUAUAGCAGAAUGCCCUGUUACUUUGGUUUGAAUCUUUAUAUGUUAUAUCUCCCCCUAUUCUGGACUUCCAUUUUGAUGAGAAAUAUACAGGUUUUUUAGUAAUAAUAUAAAUUGAACAGUCUUGUUGCUGGACAUAGUGUAUUGUUUGCUGCAUGAUGAUAUGGACUUAUGCAUCGCUUUUGUGCGGUCAACUAUAUGGAAAAUGGAGAGUGGAUGGUUAUGUAUUGGUGCCUGCAGAACGAACAAUCCAUACAUAUUGAACAGUGCAACAUGUAAUGUUGCAUAAUUAUAUUUUGUUCAUUGUCUCAUGACAUCCAUUACAAUUUCUCCAUGCUUUGGAAGCACAUAUCCGCUCUAGCGACAUUAUUCUCACUUGAAGUGGAAAUGCUUUCAUAUUAUCUGUCUACUUUAUAGCAAUUGCAGAUAACAAGAUUUACUGUAUCUUUUUAGAGGAAAUCAAUCCUAUCUAUUUUCCAACAUGGAAUGCAUCUACUAUGCUGUAUUUGUUGUAAGACUUGCACUUCAAGUGCUGAUUGCUAUACUUGAAAUUUGGCAUUCACUCUUGUUUUGAUCUUAUUGGUUAAUUAUCUAGCAUUCACCGUCAUUUGAUCUUAUUGGUUAAUCCAUGAUAUGCCAUGAGGGACAUAGCAUGUCAGGACCAAGGUUCGUAUUACUCAUGCAUACCAUCUCGUGCCGGACAUACCAUACCACACCCAACACCAAACCGAUAAACGGUAACCCCCAGUGCCAGGCAUAUCGACAUGGGGUGGUGUUGGUUACAGAACACACCACAUGCCAGGCAUAUCAACAUGGUGCCAUGCUGGUACCGGUAUGGAGAUCCCAUACUAGGCUGCAUUCUUACUGGGCAAGCUGGGAAUGUUGAUCUUUGACCCUCAUAACUAGUUGCAAGAUGCAGUCUGUGAGCAUGUAGGCUUCAUAGGAGAGUAUAACAUUUGGACAAUAAAUGAUCACAGAUGACAACAGAAUCAGAGUUGCCUCUCACUUGUAGUGUUAUCCAUUUGGAAACCUUUGUUUGAAUCUUCAGACAUUGAACCUUCUAAAGCAAGGUUUUUAUCUAGCUGAGAAUGAGCUAUUGGUUUGUAUCAGUAUUUUGUUUUCAACAAUAUGAUGUAUUCACAAUUUUGACUCUUGCUAUCAGCUGGUUUAAACUGUUAUAGCCCAGAUAGCAGUUUUUGCGGUAUAAAUAUAGUGGUGGAUGUCGUGUAAUCUUUGCUGAAGUUUUCUUUGCUAAUAAGUAAUAACAAUAAAUAAAUGCUGCAAUGAUUUUCCAAG